rnacentral:rRNA from 1 species
AACCAGCACCUCAAGUGGUCAGGAUGAUUAUUGGGCCUAAAGCAUCCGUAGCCGGCUCUGUUAGUUUUCGGUUAAAUCUAUGUGCUCAACGCAUGGGCUGCCGAAAAUACUGCAGAGCUAGGGAGUGGGAGAGGUAGACGGUACUCGGUAGGAAGGGGUAAAAUCCUUUGAUCUAUCGAUGACCACCUGUGGCGAAGGCGGUCUACCAGAACACGUUCGACGGUGAGGGAUGAAAGCUGGGGAGCAAACCGG